rnacentral:rRNA from 1 species
CGAAACCGAUAGCGAACAAGUACCGUGAGGGAAAGUUGAAAAGUACUCUGAAUAGAGAGUUAAAUAGUACGUGAAACCGCUUAGGGGUUAAGCCCGAUGAACCCGAAUAUCUGAUGUGAGAAAUUCAAUACAAUUCAAAUUCAUAUUUUUAUAUUGGAUUUGUAUAGUAUGCACUUUUCUCAUAGUAAGACAUUGUAAUCCAUUGAUAUUAUAUCUCAUAUGAGAUGAUUUAACAUACGGACAAAAUGUUUAUGAUUAUUCUAUCAGUAAUAUGUUUACAUGUUAUAUGAAUAAAAUCGUUUUGUUUCCUGUUUAAAUAGUCGAUGGAUUUUUCAUUGAAAUCAUGUUUGCAAUUUAUUUUGCGUUUCGUAUCAUUAAUUUUUAAUUGUUGAUAGCAGAAAUGGCAUGUAUUCGAUUAACAAUGCGAUAGAUUUGGGAUACUUUCAGGACCCGUCUUGA